CCUACGGGGGGCAGCAGUGAGGAAUAUUGGUCAAUGGGCGGAAGCCUGAACCAGCCAAGUCGCGUGAGGGAAUAAGGCCCUACGGGUCGUAAACCUCUUUUGCCGGGGAGCAAGGGCGGGGACGUGUCCCGGCCCGGAGAGUACCCGGAGAAAAAGCAUCGGCUAACUCCGUGCCAGCAGCCGCGGUAAUACGGAGGAUGCGAGCGUUAGCCGGAUUUAUGGGGUUUAAAGGGUGCGUAGGCGGGCUUUUAAGUCAGCGGUAAAAAUUCGGGGCUCAACCCCGUCCGGCCGUUGAAACUGGGUGCCUUGAGUGGGCGAGAAGAAGGCGAAAUGCGUGGUGUAGCUGUGCACUGCAUAGAUAUCACGCAGAACCCCGAUUGCGCAGGCAGCCUUCCGGCGCCCUACUGACGCUGAGGCACGAAAGUGCGGGGAUCGAACAGGAUUAGAUACCCGAGUAGUC
rnacentral:rRNA from 1 species